UCUCAAAAUAGCCUCUCUGUCUUUGUAGAAAUUAACAUACAUGUAACUUUAUAGAACUUUGACUGAAAUUCCGUUGUCUUCAAUAGCAACAGUAGAGGGCUCUGCAAAUUGAAUCAUCAAACGCACUUCGAAAUAGUUAUAUGCAACUCAACGGGGAAGACGCCGGCGGAAGCAACAAGAGCGUAGGUAGUCUAUAAACCGUUUGUCUUUUUUUCACCUUUCACUACAAUUCAAAAUAUGCUUCUUUCACCAAAAAACAAAAAACAAACGUAUCCUUCCCUUUCCAUCAUUUUCAAUCCCUUCCCACCUUCUCUCUUUCCUUUUAUCUUUUCCACAAAGCUUUAUUCACUUUUUGACCUUGUUGAAAAAAUGCCUAAACUCUUUCAAACAAAUUUGUUCAAAUUCUUAGAUAAAGCUGAAACAAAAUCUGCUCAAAUCCCCCUCAUUAAAUGAUAAAUGACUAUUUUACUGUUCAAAAUCCCACGCUCUUAAUUUCAAACGUUAGAGAUAAUAAUUUUGCCUAUAAAAACCAAGCCAUUGCAGCCAACAGAGGAGGAGCUGGGCAGCUCCUUCCAUGUCCCUCAUCCAUCAGUGCUUAACUAUUCAAAGCUUAUCUUCUUCCUUGCUCUCUAAAAAUUCAGCUUUAAGUUUUCUCUGCCUUUUGACUUCUAUUUAGUCCAUAGCCUUGCCAAAGUUUUUAUUUAUUUAUUUGUUGUGUCCGCAUUUGACGAUCUUUCGAAAGAGCUGAGCCAAAGUCGAAGAUUUUCUUGACGCCGCCCUCAGUUCACUGCACUGCAAAAGGUCUGUGUUUUUAUUAUUUUUCGUUUUUUCUGGAAUUUAUAGUAUGUUCAUGUUUCAGUAUCUAUUUGGGAAUGAGCUCUUAAUUUUCUGAUAUUUUAUCUUUUAUCUGCGG
rnacentral:lncRNA from 1 species